rnacentral:rRNA from 1 species
AGAGUUUGAUCCUGGCUCAGAUUGAACGCUGGCGGCAGGCCUAACACAUGCAAGUCGAACGGUAACAGGAAGCAGCUUGCUGCUUCGCUGACGAGUGGCGGACGGGUGAGUAAUGUCUGGGAAACUGCCUGAUGGAGGGGGAUAACUACUGGAAACGGUGGCUAAUACCGCAUAACGUCGCAAGACCAAAGAGGGGGACCUUCGGGCCUCUUGCCAUCAGAUGUGCCCAGAUGGGAUUAGCUUGUUGGUGAGGUAACGGCUCACCAAGGCGACGAUCCCUAGCUGGUCUGAGAGGAUGACCAGCCACACUGGAACUGAGACACGGUCCAGACUCCUACGGGAGGCAGCAGUGGGGAAUAUUGCACAAUGGGCGCAAGCCUGAUGCAGCCAUGCCGCGUGUAUGAAGAAGGCCUUCGGGUUGUAAAGUACUUUCAGCGGGGAGGAAGGUGUUGUGGUUAAUAACCGCAGCAAUUGACGUUACCCGCAGAAGAAGCACCGGCUAACUCCGUGCCAGCAGCCGCGGUAAUACGGAGGGUGCAAGCGUUAAUCGGAAUUACUGGGCGUAAAGCGCACGCAGGCGGUCUGUCAAGUCGGAUGUGAAAUCCCCGGGCUCAACCUGGGAACUGCAUUCGAAACUGGCAGGCUUGAGUCUUGUAGAGGGGGGUAGAAUUCCAGGUGUAGCGGUGAAAUGCGUAGAGAUCUGGAGGAAUACCGGUGGCGAAGGCGGCCCCCUGGACAAAGACUGACGCUCAGGUGCGAAAGCGUGGGGAGCAAACAGGAUUAGAUACCCUGGUAGUCCACGCCGUAAACGAUGUCUACUUGGAGGUUGUGCCCUUGAGGCGUGGCUUCCGGAGCUAACGCGUUAAGUAGACCGCCUGGGGAGUACGGCCGCAAGGUUAAAACUCAAAUGAAUUGACGGGGGCCCGCACAAGCGGUGGAGCAUGUGGUUUAAUUCGAUGCAACGCGAAGAACCUUACCUGGUCUUGACAUCCACAGAACUUUCCAGAGAUGGAUUGGUGCCUUCGGGAACUGUGAGACAGGUGCUGCAUGGCUGUCGUCAGCUCGUGUUGUGAAAUGUUGGGUUAAGUCCCGCAACGAGCGCAACCUUUAUCCUUUGUUGCCAGCGGUCCGGCCGGGAACUCAAAGGAGACUGCCAGUGAUAAACUGGAGGAAGGUGGGGAUGACGUCAAGUCAUCAUGGCCCUUACGACCAGGGCUACACACGUGCUACAAUGGCGCAUACAAAGAGAAGCGACCUCGCGAGAGCAAGCGGACCUCAUAAAGUGCGUCGUAGUCCGGAUUGGAGUCUGCAACUCGACUCCAUGAAGUCGGAAUCGCUAGUAAUCGUGGAUCAGAAUGCCACGGUGAAUACGUUCCCGGGCCUUGUACACACCGCCCGUCACACCAUGGGAGUGGGUUGCAAAAGAAGUAGGUAGCUUAACCUUCGGGAGGGCGCUUACCACUUUGUGAUUCAUGACUGGGGUGAAGUCGUAACAAGGUAACC